GCUCAAAGCCCGGCUCAAACCCACGGCACCACCCUGAUCCCGUCACCCCAGGGGCAGGUGCGGAGGAGAGGCCGGUGACACAUCCGUGAGAAGGGUGUAAAGUCACAGAAUCGUUCAGGUUGGGUGAGAUCUCCGAGGUCAUCGAGUCCCACCUGUGACACUGAGUGCCACCUCCUGUUGUUCCUUGGAUACCUCCAGGGAGGGGGACUCCAGCAGCUCCUGGGCAGCCCCUGCCAAUGUCUGACCACCCUUCCCGUGAAGAAGUUCUGCCUCAUGUCCAGCCUGAACCUCCUCUGGCCACAGCUUGAGGUUCUGUCCCUGCUCCUGUCCCUGUUCCCUGGGAGCAGAGCUGGAACCUCCCCUGGCUGUCCCCUCCUGUCAGGAGUUGUGCAGAGCCUGAAGGUCUCCCCAAGCCUCAUUUUCUCCACACUGAGCCCCCCAGCUCCCUCAGCUGCUCCUCACAGGAUUUCCAAGUUGCUGCAAGGUGGAUGGGGAUGGGAAGGGACCUUUGGAGGUCACUUUAAACAUAGAAUAUGUUUAUUCUAUAAACAUAGAAUAUGAUCUCUGGUUCAGCCCCAGAGAUCACUCUCAAAGAUGAAGAUUCUAUGUUUAAAGUAAAAAUCACAGGACCAGGGCCUAAGGGCACCCACUGAAUCACAGGAGAUUCCUCUGAACACCAGGAAACACUUUUUUUACUGUGAGGCCAAGAACUGGCAAAGGUUGCCCAGCAAAAGGUACCUCCAUCCUUUGAGAUAUUUAAAAUCCAUCUGGACAUGGACCUGGACAACCUGCUCUGUGUGGUCCUAAAUGAGCAAGGGGGCUGGAUUAGAUGACUUCCAUGGAGUGGGGAGGAACCCCCUGAUUUCAGUGCUGUGGACAUGCAAGUGUGGAGGAGCAAAUGAUUAUCUACAAGAUUUCCAGGCUAAAGUCAGUAUGGCCUCGAGCCAGCUGCCAGCACCAAAAUCUUUGGGCUCCAAAAACCAGGCAUUUGCACCCAAAUGGCCUUUCAGGAGCAGCCUCUGGGCUCCUGAGCUGUGCCUGGGAAAUGUGUGGAGGAGGCUGAUGGAUCCUGGAUGGAGCUGUGCCAAAGCCAAGUGGUGGGUUCAGCUGUAGGGUCACCGUGACCCCAGGAGCAGGUUAAUUUAUGAGUUACAGAGUUUGCCUUCUCCAGGCUCUGCCUCAGCUGGUUCAUGCAGAUUCUGCUGCUCCAGCCUGUCAGAUCCGCUGUUUUUGAUGAGUUUAUGAGGAAAACAGAAGGACUGCUUGUUCUGCAGGGAGAGGACCCACAGAGAGGCAGCCCAGGAAUGCGACUUUGUGGCUCUGAUAAGAUCUCUGCAGCCUGGGUGAAGGUUCAGCACAUGCCAGGACAAAUCUCACAGCAUGUGGGAGAGCCAGUGCCCCCAUUGUGAGGAGGGAAAAUACCCAGGGUGAAGAAGGUGGGAAGGAACCUCAGUUUUACCCUGUCAUUGCACUCAGGGAUGUGAAAGAGAUACAACUGGAAGCUACCAACCCCCCCAGUGACAUCUUGCACUGGUUUUCUGUCCCUCUAAGACAUCUCCUGAAGGACCCAUAGUACUGCACCAUCCUCCUGCUCCAUUCCUGAAGCUGGGAGGGGAUUCUGCCCCUCUGCUUCAUUCUGGUCAGACCCCACCUGCAGAGCUGCUCCAGCCCUGGGGCCAGCAGCAAAAAGACAUGGAGCUGCUGGAGAGAGUCCAGAGGAAUCCACAGAGCUGCUCCAAGGGCUGGAGCCCCUCUGCUCUGGGGCCAGGCUGGGAGAGUUGGAGGUGCUCAUCUGGAGAAGAGAAGGAUCCAGGGAGACCUGAGAGCCCCUUCCAGGGCCUAAAGGGGCUCCAGAAGAGCUGAAGAGGGACUGGGGACAAGGGAUGGAGGGGCAGGACAAGGGACAAUGGGCAGUAGAGGGCAUAGGAGGCGGGACAUAAAAUACAACCCAGGCAGAUGGGGAUGGUGGUGGGUGACAUCCCUGCUGCAACAUGGACACUGCAAUGCUGCCAGGCCACCUGCACCUAUUUUACCCCAGUGAAAGGUUUUUUUACCUCAUGUAACUUCAAGGCAUGUCCAGGGCAGCCAUGGGAAGGGCAGAGGGCAGCUCUGUGUGGGAUAACUGCUCUCCUGGGAGGUGCUGACAGCCUGUUCUGCACCCCAAGCCUGGUGGAUGCUGCACAGUGAGAUCUCUUUGAUGACUGGCUCUCAGGUGCUCAGAGUUAUUACUCAAAAAAAGGAUCUUCUUUUGUGGAUCAGGGUCUCCCUCCAUCAAAAGUAUCCACUCACACCAUGUCCACACUGUGCUGCUGAGGAGCAACCUAGCAGCUUUGCACCAAAGACAACUGAGCAGGAAAACAGGAUGAAUCCCCACAGGAUCUGGAGUAGCUGUGCAUCUCAGGAGCAGGACCACAACAAGAUUUUACGUUCCCAUCACUGUGCUAGGGCCAUGCUAGAGGCAUCUGGGAGGAAAAACAAACCCAUAUGCUCUGGGCUCCUACUCUGGGAAGAAAGAAGGUGGUUACAGCCCAUCCAAACACACUGAAGGUCAGAGCUUUAACUCCUUACCCACUUUCCUGUGCUCUCCUGGUGAGAUACCAGCAGCUGCCCAUGCCUUUCAGUAAAGAAAUUCCAUUUAUACACCCAGAUAGUAGUUUUCCAUGUUUUUCUUCUCCACAAUGAGGAAAAACCCCAAGAGCUAGAACCAUUUAAAUAUUUACCAGAGUGCGUGGGAAUAGCAAAUACUUCAAGAAUAUGAUGUCAGAAAUGCCUGAGCUGGGUGAAGAUGCAAUGGGGUGAAAUUCUCCAGCCUAUGUUAGGGAAAAGGUCAGGAGAGAGGAUUAAGAAGGACUCCUUCAGCAUUAAAUUAUUUGUGAUGAGAGUCAGGACAGCACUGUGCUUGUGAGAGUGAAUUCACCCCCUGGUUAGGGUUCAGCUCCUGCAACUGCUGCUUCAGGAGAGCCCAGUAAAUAUAAAUCCCCUUAAUCUCCUGGAAAACGUGGAAUUUACCCUGAUAAAAACAUCUCAUAGGUGGUCUCACUUCUCCACAUAAUUUCAGUUCUAAAAAGUGACUUUUUUCCAUUCCAAAUAUUGCAUUCUGUGUUAUUAUCCUUCUAUUUUAUUACAAAUAGAUUUUAAACCUCCACUCCACUGUGUUGCUUGAUGAUCAGGUGACACUCCAUUGAAUUUGGAAUACUCUCCCCCCAUUUUUGGAGCUGUGAAUGAGCCACAAGCUUCUCCCCUGCCCUUCAUGGGUGAGGCAAAGCUACUCAGCAGCCAGGAAAGCGAAGAGAUGGCAACUUGAUAAUUGCACUGUGGCUUGAAAAUUGACAUUUAGUUGAACUAUGAGGAAAAAAAAAAAAACACAAGAAAAACGACAGCAACAACAACAAAACUCCACAAUGUCCCAGAAUCUUAGAAGGACCACAGGGUACCCUUAAACCACAGAAACCAAGUACAGGUGGGUGCUGACACACAGAGGUGUGAGGAAGGGAUGAGAAAAUCCACAUUGAGCACUGUUAGAGUGCUCCGCGUGCAAUUCACCCAUGGAUGUUCCUGCAGCCACCCUUGAUCCUUCUGUUUCCCUGCAAGCCCUCCAGACCCGGCCCUCUGUGUGCUAAGUGCUUAAUUCCUGUUUUUUUUCCAGUGGAUAGGAAGUGCUAAUUGUCCCUGUGAGCUUGUGCUCCCUUUUCACCCAGAAUGCGGCAGGGACAUGAACGCAGGGAGACCUUGGGCACAAUCCUGGGGAGUCCCAAAAGCCAGGGAAGGCUUUUUGCUUCUUCCCAGCCUUCUCCACCUCUCUCCAUCCCUCUGUCCUGCUCGGCCUGCCCUGCUGCGAUGAAUUAUUCAGGCAGCAGUUGCUAUAGGGCGCUGUCUUGAAUAACAACAGCGCUAUUUUUAUCCUUUCACUCCUGUUACCUUUCUGCCAGGAGCGGUGGGGCCCUGGCGGCUCCUGGCAGGAGGAAAACCGCAGCCAUCCACAACUUCUCCGUGUCUGGGAUUCGUUUUGACCACCCAAAUGUGGGUGAGGUGCAAUCUGCAUAGAUGUGCCUGAAUCCCACCCUGGUGUCUGCUCUGUGUUGUACUCACAGGGUGCUUUGCACCCAUAUUUCAUUUUUUCCACCCAUAUUUUACCUGCAGCGGAGCACGCAGAGUGUCCAUUGCUGGAUUUAAUAUUCUGCCUACCGCAGAGGGAGAAAAAACCUCUCAGAAAUGAAAUUUGCAGCAGGUUCUGGCAAUUAAUAUGGGAUAAAUCAUAUUUCCUUUAGGGACUUAGACAGAUUCCUUCAGCCAGUUUAGAUCCUCAGUGGAUGAUGUGCCCAUUAAAAAAAAACCAAAAAAACAAAAAACCACAACAAAACCAAAACCAAACACAAAUAUCAAUAUUAUAAAUAGUAACCAUUAAAUAUUAAAUAAUAUAAAUAUAAAUACAAAUAUAAAUAAAAUAAAAUAAAAUAAAAUAAAAUAUAA